UAGGGUUCGUCACCCCACCGUGCGCCGCCGCCAUCGACCAAGACAGGUGGAGGUGAGCGGCGCAAUGGGGAUGCGCGCCUGGCGGCCGUGACCGGAGCCCCAGGAGCAGGCGAUGCGCGGCCUGUCCCAGAAGCUGCCCAAAACUACAUGGCGCUGAUUCCGCCUGCCUCCUCCGGCUGAGAAUCUCGGCGUGGUUUUCGCGUUCUGGUUCAAGGACAUGAGCCUAAUCGGUCAAAAGAACUGGUCGGGCGGUUUCACUCCCUAAUCCCCUUGGACCCCGUCCUCAACCUAUCUCCUCCCAUCUCGAUUCAACGCCUCCGUCGCCGUCGCCUUGGCUCGUGCCGCCGCCACCCGCAGCCUCUUGCGUCAUCCAGCACAGCUGCCACCGGCAACCGUCGCCCGCGGGGCACCCAACGCCGCCGCCACGCGCAGCCGACGCUGAUGCCAUUGGAGCCAGAUUCCCGUCCACCUCCUGCUCCUGCGCACCUAGCACAGAAAAUGGGGACUGCUCCGGCGAAUCCACCGGCGCGGUGAGGAGCUGGUAGAGAGGGAGAUGAGCGGGCGCAACGCCUCCCACUAUGCUGCUGAGCAUGGCCUCCACGGCUGCCGCCUUGCGCUCUGCCUGGCAGCCAAGCAGAGCCUCUCCUCCCCCUGGCCGCCUCCUCCCCAUAACCGUCCUCUACCCUCUUCUUCCUUCCUCUGGCCCUGUUAUUCCACUGAUUAAUUUUUUUUUCUCGAUCUUCUUUUGUUUACGUCAUUGGGGUUUGAUUGCUCCAGAUGGACCUGAUCGCUCCCCUGCGUGACAUGGGAUAGUGCACAAAGUAACGGAACUUCUUAUUUUCCACAUUACUAAAUUCGCUCUUUCCAUCUGGAAAGUUAGAGCAAAUUGAGCUAGAGUUAGCCAAACCCCCGACGGUGGUGGUGUUGAGGAGUGCUAUGUGCUGCAAGUGAAUCCGAUGGGAGUAAAGGGACAGGGAUAAUGCAGAGGAUAUGAGUAUGGUCGAGAGGUUUCUUGAAGAGGUGGGAUGGAAGAGGGACAGAAAGGGGGGAAAUAACAGGGAUUAUUAGAUGACGGGAUUCAAAAAUGAGGCUUCAAAGAAGCUUCAGGCUUAGCCCAUUCUUGAGGUUGCAAUUGUACAAGAGGCAGAUCGUCUGGAGUUUUUUUUAGGUGGAAGGCCUCACUGGGAUGAGAGCUGCUUGCGAAC